GCAAGGGCGAGGUGCUCUCGCGCGAGGACUUCACCGCGAGGAGCGAGGCGGCGGAGAACGCGAAGAAGGCCAGAUUGCAGAACGCGCCCCGGGUCUUGGCGAGUGCGCAGAAGGACCUCAACGAUUGCCCCUUCUUG
rnacentral:SRP_RNA from 1 species